rnacentral:lncRNA from 1 species
ACGUGGCUACACCCCGUUCACCUCAUCUACCACGCAGCAGAUAGUGUUCUCGUGGGUCUUCCAUUUGUUUUGUUCCCCAUCGCAGUCUUCAGCUGCUGUGCGUGUGGGCGCUCCGGGAGGAAGGCCCAGAUGUGGAGGAAGAGGAGGAGGAUGAUAACGAAGAUGUCGUCUGGCAGCACAUAGCGGUGGCCUCGCUGGCUUCUCAGCAUCGAAGGAGUGGCUUUGCACGCUUGGACCUGGCCGUGAUCCUGCCAGCCAUCGCUCUGGCCCAUGGAGAGGGUCAUGGACUCAUGGAGGUGAUGGCCAUGCAUGGCAGAGCUGCUCAGGGCCAAAGGGGAGGAGCAGGAGAUGCUUGAGUGUCUCGUGCUCGUUUUGCUCCUGUCCUUGAUCCACGGAGGAGAUGCUUGCGGAUAGGUCCUAGGAGGACAUGCCAGCGACAAGGAAGCAGUUCUAUACUAUUGGGUUACAUAUUGCUCGUGUAAGUACAGUUCUAUACCGUUACCAUACAGCUCCAAUGCAGAUUUACAUAAAUGUUUUUUCACUAACUAUUUAUCUGCAAUGCAGAUUUGCAUAAAUUAUGGAAAAUGAAACUGCACUACCCUUUAUCUCCAGAUGUAGAGAGUUUACAGCUUCACUGAAAAAUGUAACAGCAAUUUGCUUGAAAAUUAUUCUUCUGAUGAUGCCAAAUCAAACGUACUUCCAAAUUACAAAUCAGAUAAAGUACAAACCAGUUAUAUAGCCAAAGUGUACAAUAUGGAUGUUCCUUCAGCUCAUUACCGACGCAUUUCAUCUUGGAACAGAUUAGACUGAUGCUGGCGGUGGAGCUGAAUAUGCUGAUUGAUUACCUUGAACAGACAGUACUAGAUAUGCACUGAAGAAAUUGUAAUCCAUGCAAGUUUCUACAGUCAUUGUACCUUCCAGUACCUUAACUACCGUUGACAUUGAUG